rnacentral:lncRNA from 1 species
GUCUCCCACGCGCUCCACCACCUCUGCGACUCGGGUGGCCGGAGCACCGCGGAGCCCGGUCCCGUUUUGUCUGGGACGCUGGGGCUGUCGCCUGGGAGAUUUGAAUUUGAAAACGCCGCGGCUCGCGGGAGCCCAGGCGGAGGAGGAGGCCUUGGAUUACUCAGCCCUCGAGCGUCCAUUGGCGGUCAUUGGAAGAGGGGUCCAGGAGGUGGAAGAGCUCCGGACUUGACUCUGAACCUUAUGGAGCAAAUGCGACCCUCUUACCAGGUUUAGACUGGCUUCCUUACCUGCCACCUGUCCUUUUAGGCUCCCUCCCUCCCGCUAUCCAGCCUUCCCCGGGUACAUCCAACCCUCGGUCGGUCAAUAGCCACAGAGGACAGAAACUCCUUGGCGUUGCUCAGCAUUUACUGGCUCCUCCCUCCUAUCCCUACUCCUCUGGCUCCCCGAGUCUCUGCUUCUCACUCCCCUCAUCCCUACACCCCUGACCUGGAUGCAGACAGGAUCCCAGUCCAAGCCUAGAGGUGUCAGCGGUGGGCCGGAGGUGACACCACUGUUCUCUCUUUAGGCUGCGGGAUUGAAUGUGUUGCCCUUGAAGAAGGAGACACCUGAUUUAUUAUAAUACACAAGCCUGGUUAGCUCAGCAAGAAACUAGAGAAUGCUCCCCUGCUACUGAAAGAACAAGGGAUAGACAGGAAAGAAACUACCAGUUAUUGAGAAUCCAGUGUGCUGCAAACUCUACAGGAUGAACUUACCUAGUCCUCACACCACCCUUAGGUGGCAGACGUUUUUAUAUCCAUUUUGCAAAUGAGGAAAUUGGGCCUCAGAGAAGUGAAGGAAUUUGCUCAGGACCACAUAGCUAGUUGGCAGAGCUGAGAUUCAAAAGCAGAUCACACGUGACAAAAUUGCAUAGAUCUAAAUAUAUACUCACACAAAUGAGGAGUGAAUGUAAAACUGGUGACAUUUGAAUAAACCCCUAGGAUUGUACUGAUGUCAAUGUCGUGGUUGUGAUAUUAUACUACAAUUAUGCAAAAUGUUAUCAUGGGGGGAAAUAGGGCAAAAGGUCUAUAAGGGGUCUUUCUGCAUUAUUUCUUACAAAUUAAUGUGAAUCUACAGUUAACUUGAAGUUUUAGAGGAGUUCCCUGGUGGUCUAGUGGUCAGGAUUUGAUUUUAGUGCUUUCACUGCUACUGCCCAGGUUCAAUCCCUGAACCUGGGAACUGAAAUUCCACAUCAAGCCACUGCAUGCCACCAAAAAAAAAAAAAAAAAAGUAAGAGGAAAAGAAAAUAAAAAUGAAAAACAAAGUUCUGUGAGUUCCCCCUGUGGUGAAGUGGAAAUGAAUCCGACUAGGAACUAUGAGAUUGUGGGAUUGAUCUGGCCUCGAUCAGUGGGUUAAGGAUUUGGCACUGCCGUGAGCUGUGGUGUAGGUCACAGAUGCGGCUUGGAUCCCACACUCAUGCACUUUAUGUGUGGAUGUUCAGUCCAGUAAUAAUUACACAACACACAUGCAUGCCAUUUGUUAUGGGAAUAGCUAACCUGUUAUCAGAUUCCUUAUGUAGACAUCAUCUUAUAAGAGAGUAUAUUCACUGAGGGCUUAAACAGCCAACAGUCUUAGAAGGUAAGAAAGAAGAGAUGUUUUUUCUUAUUAGAGACCCAAUCUUGCCAUGGGAGCUCAUCCUACAAGUUCUCCAAGUUGUUUUUUGUUUUUUGUUUUUUGGUUUUGUUUUGUUUUUUUUUUUUGCCACAUCCA